GCCUGAGUGGCUCAGCGGGUUGAGUGUCUGACUUCAGCUCAGAAAAGAAUUGGACAGGGGCGCCUGGGUGGCUCAGUCGGUUGGGUGUCCGACUUCAGCUCAGGUCACGAUCUCGCGGUCUGUGAGUUCGAGCCCCGCAUCGGGCU
rnacentral:tRNA from 1 species